UUCCUGUAGCUCAGUGGUUAGAGCACUCGCCUCGGCAAGCGAGAGGACCUGGGUUCGAUUCCCGGCAGGACGAAA
rnacentral:tRNA from 1 species